UACAGAGGGUGCGAGCGUUGUUCGGAAUUAUUGGGCGUAAAGGGCGCGUAGGCGGUGCGGUAAGUCACCUGUGAAACCUCUGGGCUUAACUCAGAGCCUGCAGGCGAAACUACCGUGCUGGAGUGUGGGAGAGGUGCGUGGAAUUCCCGGUGUAGCGGUGAAAUGCGUAGAUAUCGGAAGGAACACCUGUGGCGAAAGCGGCUCACUGGACCAUAACUGACGCUGAGGCGCGAAAGCUAGGGGAGCAAACAGG
rnacentral:rRNA from 1 species